UGACCCCUAUUACUGCAAUACCCGAGAACAUCACCUCUGGUUGUGCACUGAGCCUCACAGUAUCUGAAGAAAGUUAACUUGCAUUAAUAUUAUUUUCCUCUGUUAUAAAUGGAGAACUGAGGCACAGCCAGGUCAAGUGACUCACCCCAAGGUGCUCUUUGAAAAGGGGCCUUAAUUCUGUACACACGUGCCCAGUCUUUGGAUGGUAUUUAGAAUUUAGUCUUUUGAUUGUAGAAAUGGCUUCAAGCAAGCCCCAAACACCCAACAGCAAACCAGAUGACACAGCACAAACCACAACCUUUUGCUCAAGCCAGCUGUGAGAGACUGAAGUGAGAAAGGAUUUUGAGUUUCAUCCCUGCUGACCUGAGAAAGAUUGUGUGUGAACUGACAUCACUGCAGAUCUGGGAAGGCACAGAAAAUCCUAUCGGCGAGAACCUGAACUUCGGAAAAACAGCCUCACUUUUCUCCAAAGAAAAGAUGAAUCCACAGAGUAGAUCUUGCUGCAGCAGAAGGAACAUGUGUCAUGGGAACAGCAGAGGCAAAAUGUGUCAUGGGAAAAUCUUGACAGAUUCAGCCCAGGACGAGAGUAUGCAAAUUGAGACCAAAUUAAAUGCAGUUGAGCGAGAUAACACAUAUCCCAGCAAUGAAGAAAACUCACAGCACACUCACAAAAAAGAUGGAGUUUAAAUCCAAGGGGGGGCCUGAGGAUGUCUAAGCAGUCCCCAGUGACUAAAUUUUAGCAGGAAUAUGAAAGUUUCCCCAAAAAGGAGUCAGGAAAGUAUCACAGGAAUCAAACAAGGAGUAACUGAAGUGCAAGGGCCCAUUACAGAACUCAGUGGAAGAGGUGUAACCUGCCCUCCAACAUAGCAACAAAGCACAGGCACUAAAUAAUAAUGUAGUUUUUCUGCUAUUAAAAAGUCAUCCUCACUUCUGGGAUAUUGUAUAUUUUUUUCUUUUCCUGGCCUGUUCUGCUGAAAGAGGGGUUUUCAAGAGUUGCUGGUUUCCAUCUCCAAAGUAGCUCACCUUCAGUUCCAGGGGAAACAAAACUCUCAACCAGCCUCAUUUGUAAAAUCUUUGAAGAUGUGGGAAUGUCCUCUGGAUGUAAGGAAAGAGAGCGUGAUUCACAGCCUAGUACAGAUAUAUAAAGGGGUUCAAUAUUUAAUUAAACAUAAUCUUCCUUGUGGCAUGAGUGACUGAGCUCUUUCAGGAAUAAAAAUCCUUGGUUUUUAUUACACUAUUCUCCAAUAUGUGACAACACAAAACCUUUUGCAGGGCCGUGCUGGCCCAGCACCUGCCUUCCCCAGGGCAGUACUUGCUGCCCAGCUGCUGCCAAGAGAACAUUUUGGGAGCUAAUAACUUUCUACUUUUACAUGAAAAAUCCGUCUCUAUGGGAUGUCAGAUUGCUCUGACAUGUCUCCCUGGUGCCUGGAAACUAUGGAUGCAAUCCCCACACCACUGGGGUGAGGAACCCAUGGUGCUGCUCAACACCACAGCCUGCCCUGCUCUGCCCUUAGAACCAAACACAUUUUUCAGCUACUUGAAACAAAAGUCAUGUUUUUUGGUAGUUAUUCUCUACAGGGAACAGGUGCCCUGGUCCUGCACCCAUGGCUGAGCUCAGCAUGAGCAAAGGAGUUGUGCUGGAAGUGUGUGCUGACAGAGGCUCUGAGGAUCUGGCUUGCAGACCUGCCUCUGCAAAGGGUCAAGACAAUCUCACUUAGGGCACAACUCUGUUAGUUUUGUUCUGGUUUUCUUUAUAUAUAUAUAUAAAGGAAAAGGACAGCAUUAGCUCUUUUCUGGAAGUGAUAUUCUGCUCUGUGUGAGAAAUGAGGGAAAAGAUGCAUUGCAUCCUUCCCUUUAAAGGAUGCCAUGCAUCAGGCACAAGCCUAAAUAAUACCAAGGUCUGCAGCUGCCUGGCCCAAUUUUGUUUUUACAUAUGUAAAAUGACUUCUAAAAGCACAGAGUUUUAUUUCACCAACUUCUGCUUUGCAGUGUUAACCAUUCAUAGCUGCCACCUACUCAACAAUAAUAAUGAAAAGAAAUAAUCCUUUUAGUAGAGAAAAGGUAAUUACUAAGCAGAAUGUAUACUGCUCCGAAAAACUACUGGGGUUUUCUAAUGAUAAAUCCAGUCCCCACAUGCCCCUGAUUCAGUGGGAUGUGCUCUUUCAGCCUUGACAGUGGGCUAGGAGGUAUCCUUUGCAUCCUGACACAAUGGCCUUGGCUGGAGCAUUAGAAUUCCUGGGAAGUGCCCUGCUGAGUACGAUAGGGUUUUCAAGAAGAGGCAGCCAGGGCUGGAGACAAAGCACAGCAGUGUCGAAGUGAAUCUUCCCAGGGAUGCUGGGAUGUGAAGCACUCCUGGGUUUCUUUGACAACGACAACACGAGUCCUUGUGCUGUAUUCCCCAGGCUUUCUCCGAGACGUCUACCAGCUACACCCUUCCUCCCCGCCUGCAAUUAGCACUUACAGUGUUGCAAAGGGAGAUGAGAUUCGCUCUCACUGUCCUCCUUCAGAACUCGCUCACACCUUCCCCACUGGGUGGGAACAUGUGCUGUGGGUUAGGAAAUAUUCUCGUAGUGAAAUUACAUUUGCAGCAAUCCUACCCCCCGCCUACUGUUUGCUUCUGACUAUCAGACUCUGCUUCUCAUCGUGGUGAACAAGCAUGUGAACACAAGAGCUCAGACACAGCACUUGGUUCAGCAAAGCCUCAAAUCUCCGUGACUCUCUUCAUUCCCCCCGGAAUUGUGUAUGCACAAAUUGGGCCCAGUUUGUUUCAUCCAGGGUAACUGGAUCUGGCUAUCCAGACUGAAGGUUAAGAAGACUGAAUGUGGUGGGUUUGUCCCAAAGCGAGCUCUAUUUCCUUACCUGGAGGUGGGAUGACACCGAAAUCAGAAAUGACAGCUGUAUUUCAUAUCUGCAGGUUCAGCUCUACCGACGCUGCCAGCAGUUUUACCAGGAUUACCAGGACAUAACGUGACUAUCAAAACCCAGGUAAAGGAAGAGAAGAGAUGUGUAGCAGGAAUCUGUUGGCACUUGAUGAGAAGCAGGUCAGCUUUGUCCAGAGAAGAGAGUGUUGGUGGAACUGUCCUGUCACUGACUCUAAUGCAAAUGGAUUCAGUCUCUACCUCAAGACGAAAAGUGCUCUUCCAGCACCUCCAUCUCCCAUUUCUUCCUAUAUUCUUUAUGGAUAGAGUCUUACUGUGCUUCCCUAGUAGCCAAUUAAUAAAAAUCACCACAACAGAAGCAGAAUUGGCUGACAUAAGAGAGAUGCACGAGAGACAGCUGAUGGAUCUGCACGAAUACCGGCCUUGAUCCCACAGAGAUGCUUGCAUUAAAGUCAGGGAAAGAUUCCAGUGCAGAAAGUUAAGUGUGUGUGUGUCAGUGUUUGGCAGGCUGAGACCUUGAAACCUGCUCAGGCAUCGUGGCUGGGUACAGACAUAAACUGAACACUUGCGAUGUUUCACUUAGCUUUGACAACAUGUGAUACUCAGGGGGUUGUUUUAAAAAUAAAUACAAACCAUUUCCCUAUUAGUUCUAUUACCCUUUCAAAUGGGCUUGGAAUAUAGAU